rnacentral:rRNA from 1 species
UAAGUAGGCGGUGGAAAAUGAACCAAAUGGGAUUCCUUAAGUAAUUGCGAAUGAACAAGGAACUGCUCAGCUUKAAAAUUGGGGCCUUCGGCCUUGAAUUGUAAUUUUGAAAUGUAUUGCCAAUGGAGGCGCAGGUGCAAGCCUAUUGAAAGAAAGCGUCAAUGAGGGUGAGAUUCCUUUUUGUCAUUUGCAGUCCUCCGUGCACGGUAUAUAUUUGACGAGUCACACUCCUUGGCAUUGGAAUGCAAAGUGGGUGGUAAAUUCCAUGUAAAGGAAAAUAUAUUAUUGAGACUGAUAGCAMACAAGUACCAUGAGGGAAAUAUGAAAAGGACUUUGAAAAGAGAAUUAAAAGAGUCUGCAUUUGCUGAACAGAAAGCAAACAGAAUUGAUCUACUUGGUGAGAUUGUUGCGUCCACUUGUGGGUGCAAUGGUUCUUGCCUUGAAUGUCAGCGUCUAUUUCUGCAAAUUAUUACCCUUGCAUAUGAAUUGUAAUUUGCCUGUGGGCAUUGGAAUGCAUGUGUUUGCAAUGAUUUGUGAUUUGAUACAUGUGUCUGGUGUUCGCGUGUGUGCCUUCUUGCUAACACGGGGAGGGCUCUCCUCCCUGGGCACUGCAUGCCCUUGCAC